rnacentral:misc_RNA from 1 species
AGAUAUUAGUUAUCAUAUAACUUAGAGAAAUGUGAAUAGUGAUAUAAACUCAGCUGAUUAAAUGAGAAAGACGUCAUGGAAUGGACCAAUGAAUAUGUAGAGAAUAUAGUAGUUAUCUGUGGAAUCAAAAGGUGUAUUUGGAGGCCUUAAUACAAAAAUAUCUUUUGAAAUUCAAUGAGUUUGUACUACAAUUCAACGGAAUAUAAUAUUUACAGAAGGAAAAUGCAUAAAUUUUAAUAAAAUCUAGAAUUACCUUUGUCAUUUAUGCCAUUUCCAUGAAUCAAUGGACAAUGGUUCCAGCUGCUAAUAUUUACAUGUAUUUUAUAAUAAACCAUGUUUUAAAAACUGACCCAACUAUCAAACAAAGAAGGGACGGGAUUCAAAGGCUGGAGGUUCAUUUGGGGUUGAACUGGGGAUAAAUGUUAUUAUAAUUUUAUAUGUAUUAUAAAUAGCAAAGCAUUUAAGUUGAUACAUAAAUAACAAAAGAAAAGGUUGAAUAUAA